CAGAACCCCGGGGCCGGACCUGCAGAGGGUGGGGGUUCUGCCGCUCCUGGCAGUGGCUGCGGCGCCCUCUGCCGCAUGCUGUGGAAUGGCCGGGGCCUGCGGAGGGAAGGGCGGGAGCCAACCCGGCCUGGGGUCUGGGCACUGCAGGCCUCCAUCUUGCGGGUCUCAGCAGGGAUGGGGUCAGCCGGGGCCCCGAGGGAACUCCAGUGGAGGACCCAGAAGGGCCUCUGGGCCCCUGUGUUCUGUCCUGAAAGGCGCGGGCGGCAGGAAAUGGCCAGCCCAGGCUUCGGGCGCAGGUGGACCUCAGCUCGGCCUCGUCGGUGCUGGUCACUGUCCUGGACGCCAAGGGACGUCCGCGCCCGAACCCCCAGCACCGACACAGCUGAGGGACGGCGGGCGUGGCUAAGCGAAGGACCUGGAGACAGGCGGUCACCUGGUGGAUCCUUGUUGGAGGGAGGCAGGAGGCUGAGAGGAUGGAAGAGGCCACGCUGCUGGCUUUGGAGCUGGAGGCAGCGGCCAGGAGCCGGGACGCGGGAGCCUCUGGAUGCUGGAGGGGGGUGAGCCGUGGCUGCCUGAACCUCGGCGCUUCCCCCGCCCCUGGAGAGAAAGCCUCAGAGGGGUGACCUGCUUCCCCAGCAAGGCCGCACGCUUCUCCCGCCCCAGGGCCCUGGGUUUUCCCGCUGUCCUCUGACUCGGGUGCUGGGGGCCUGCCUGUGACCCCGCCCGUGACCCCACCUGUCCCGGAGCUGUCUGGAUGCUCGUCUCUGCCUGACAGGAGACCACAGAGAAAACCCUAGUCUGGAAUGGAAAAUUCUAGAGUGGGCGCAAACCGGAGCAGACAGGCAUUUGGGAGGAGGUGCUGGGGCAGAGCAGUGUGGGACUGUCAUGGACACCCGGGGAGCUGGCCUGAGGCUCAGGGGUGACAGUGCCACUGCACCGGUCCAAGCAGGCAGCGAAGGGGAACCCAGGGGUGGCCGGAGGGGCGAGGGUGGGAUAUGGGGACCCCCUGGGGGACGGGUGGAUGAAUUAGCUCCUCGCUAAUUAGCCCCCUACCCCUGAGUUCUGAGACUCAGGAGGCCUUCAGGAGGAGGUGACUGCGGUUUCUGGUGAGGCUGGGUGGGGCAGCAGCCUCUGGGGCAUCUGGGAUGGUGGAGAAAUGCACGUCCCACACCACUGCCUGCCUGUGUCCUGCCUGGGGUGGGGGGGGCGGCCGGGGCCAGGCCGAGGAGCACAGGAGGCCCCGGCAGUGGGGCUGGGCCCGGGCGUCUUCCAGCAUCUGCGGCCAGCGCGCCUCUCGUCGGGGGGCAGCAUCGGGCCCAACCGAGCUCCCGGCCCACAGCCCCGCCGGCUCCCACCCUUGCUGUGGGGCCUCAGGCCUGGGAGGAAGGCGCUGCCCUUCCGAGUGCAGCAUGCCUGCUGUGCCCACGGACCCCAGAUUGAUCUUCCUGGAGAAAAUCAAUAGCUCCAAUAUGCCAGCUCUCAAGAGGCUCUGCGGCUAGUCACCCGCCAUUAGGCACACGAGGGCUGCAGCCUCCGCCGCCCAUUAGCGGGACAUUAGGCCUCCCACGAAAUUUCUCUGUGUGCUUUGAGAUAAUGAAGGCCGAGGUGUUGGUUUACGUCCCUGGGGGAGGGGGAGGAUGACAGCAGCUUUCUGGGCAGGGCCAGUGCCAGCUCCACAUGGACUCACCAAGGAGAGCAGGGCCCCGGGGACACAGGCGCCCCGGCACAUCCGGCUGUGGCUUUUCCCACCCGGGGUCAAGCAGACACACAGCAUUCGGGGGGCGGGAGGGAGUCAACGCCCACCAGUCAAUGGCCACUGGGGGCAGAUGGGCACCACGGGAGCCGGCGGUGCGCUCACGCCUGGAGUCCCAGCUCCUCCAAAGUGUUACAUUAGAUUUAGUCGUUAGAAGAGAUAGUAGAUUUAGUCGUUAGUAGAAGUGUCGUUAGAUUUAGGGCCCACCCUGGUCCAGAAGGGCCUCGUCUUAACUAAUGACAUUGGCAAAGACCCUGUUUCCAGACAAGGUCAAGUUCUUGUGUUCUGAGGGGACGUGAAUUUGGGGCACUGCUGAACCCGGGGUGGCGUCUUCCAGUCCUCACAGUGGGCUGAGUGGGACGGGGGAUGCCCAUUUCACACUCUUCCCAGGUGUCUCAUUUCUGUUUGAGACUGAGAUUAACUUGGUGGCCUGGCCCCUCAGAGGCUGGCCCGCCCCCCGAGUGAAGCCUCAGCCCCUGCCUGUACCUUCCAGCUCUGCCCCUGACUCUGCUGUCCUGGGGCAGCUUGUGCGCAACUGCCCAAAACCACAACAACCAGGAAGGUGCACCAGCCCAACCCAAAGGCUCCAUGGCUAACCAGAGGGCCCUUCGAUUUCCACCUCCUUCAGGAAGCCCCCCUGGGCUGCACACCAGGAUGAGGCUGACCAGUCCUCCCCAACCACACUUUGAGCCCCCUCCUCCCACAACAGUGGGUGCUCCCAGGUCCCUACAGGGGGACUGGUUUGGCAGUGAUUCCAGGUGGGGUUCUGGGGUAGAACAGGUGGGGCAGGGCCCGUUGAGGAGGACCUGGGCAAACAGGUGCCUCUGUUGACACAGCAGCCCCAAACACAGUCUGGGGCCAGGCCGCCCAGGUGUUGCUGAGCUCAGGACACCUCCAGCCCCCCUUCCUGGCCUUGAUGCCAAGAGUUCCUGGGGGAACAGAACUGGUCCCAGAUCUGGCGCUUCUUCUGCUGGGAAGCACGUGCAGGAGCCGGUGCUCCAGAGGCGAGCAGAUUCUGGCUCAGGGGAAGGGGCUUGUCCAGGGCCAUCCGGCCACACACAGUGCAGCAGAUGGGCCGAGGUCCCCGCCACCACCCGGGCGACAGGAGGGGUGACCUGCACCGGAAGUCAGGAGCAGGCCUUCUAGCUCCAGGGCCAUCCUGAGAGGAAAGAAGCACUUCACCUUUCCCCAUUCAUUGGAGGCACGUCCAGGCUUCCAACUAACCUCUCUACGGGAAUGAAUGUGAAUUCCUCUCAAACUCUGGGCAUAAGAAAUGACACGUUUUUGUUACAUAGACAUAUUGCAAAAAUAAAAAAUAAAAAGAUG